UACGAAGGGGGCUAGCGUUGUUCGGAAUUACUGGGCGUAAAGCGCACGUAGGCGGACAUUUAAGUCAGGGGUGAAAUCCCAGAGCUCAACUCUGGAACUGCCUUUGAUACUGGGUGUCUUGAGUAUGGAAGAGGUGAGUGGAAUUCCGAGUGUAGAGGUGAAAUUCGUAGAUAUUCGGAGGAACACCAGUGGCGAAGGCGGCUCACUGGUCCAUUACUGACGCUGAAACACGAAAGCGUGGGUAGCAAACAGG
rnacentral:rRNA from 1 species